UACGAAGGGUGCAAGCGUUACUCGGAAUUACUGGGCGUAAAGCGUGCGUAGGUGGUUUGUUAAGUCUGUUGUGAAAGCCCCGGGCUCAACCUGGGAAUGGCAAUGGAUACUGGCAAGCUAGAGUGCGGUAGAGGGUAGUGGAAUUCCCGGUGUAGCGGUGAAAUGCGUAGAGAUCGGGAGGAACACCAGUGGCGAAGGCAGCCCCCUGGGUCAAGAUUGACGCUCAUGCGACGAAAGCGUGGGGAGCAAACAGG
rnacentral:rRNA from 1 species